rnacentral:rRNA from 1 species
AUGAACGCUGCCAGCAUGCUUCACACCUUCCAGUCACCUUGAACUUCGGUUUGGGUGGCGGACGGGUGAGUAACGCGUAAAGAACUUGCCUCACAGCUAGGGACAACAUUUGGAAACGAAUGCUAAUACCUGAUAUUAUGAUUAUAUGGCAUCGUAUAAUUAUGAAAGCUAUAUGCGCUGUGAGAGAGCUUUGCGUCCCAUUAGCUAGUUGGAGAGGUAACAGCUCACCAAGUCGAUGAUGGGUAGCCGGCCUGAGAGGGUGAUCGGCCACAAGGGGACUGAGACACGGCCCUUACUCCUACGGGAGGCAGCAGUGGGGAAUAUUGGACAAUGGACCGAGAGUCUGAUCCAGCAAUUCUGUGUGCACGAUGAAGUUUUUCGGAAUGUAAAGUGCUUUCAGUUGGGAAGAAAAAAAUGACGGUACCAACAGAAGAAGUGACGGCUAAAUACGUG